rnacentral:rRNA from 1 species
AGCUGACGGACUAGACAUGCAGUCGCACGGAAAGGCCCAGUUCGGGGCACUCCAGUGGCGAACGGGUGAGUAACACGUGGGCGAUCUGCCCUGCACUCUGUGAUAAGCCUGGCCAACUGGGUCUAAUACCGGAUAGGACCACACCCUUCAUGCUGAGUGGUGCCAAGCUUUUGCGGUGUGAGAUGAGCCCGCGGCCUAUCAGCUUGUUGGUGGGGUACUCGCCCACCACGGCCACGACGGGUAGCCGGCCUGAGAGGGUGACCGGCCACACUGGCACUGACAAGGCACAAACUAUAUACGGGAGGCAGCAGUGGGGAAUAUUGCACAAUGGGCGCAAGCCUGAUGCAGCGACGCCGCGUGAGGGAUGACGGCCUUCGGGUUGUAAACCUCUUUCAGUAGGGACGAAGCGAAAGUGACGGUACCUACAGAAGAAGGACCGGCCAACUACGUGCCAGCAGCCGCGGUAAUACGUAGGGUCCGAGCGUUGUCCGGAAUUACUGGGCGUAAAGAGCUCGUAGGUGGUUUGUCGCGUUGUUCGUGAAAACUCACAGCUUAACUGUGGCGUGCGGGCGAUACGGGCAGACUAGAGUACUGCAGGGGAGACUGGAAUUCCUGGUGUAGCGGUGGAAUGCGCAGAUAUCAGGAGGAACACCGGUGGCGAAGGCGGGUCUCUGGGCAGUAACUGACGCUGAGGAGCGAAAGCGUGGGUAGCGAACAGGAUUAGAUACCCUGGUAGUCACGCCGUAAACGGUGGUACUAGGUGUGGGUUCCUUCCUUGGGAUCCGUGCCGUAGCUAACGCAUUAAGUACCCGCCUGGGAGUACGGUCGCAAGAUUAAACUCAAAGGAUUGACGGGGCCCGCACAAGCGGCGAACAUGUGGAUAAUUCGAUGCACGCGAAGACCUUACCUGGUUUGAAUGCCAGGACGUACCUAGAGAUAGGUUUCCCUUGUGCCUGUGUCAGGUGUGCAUGCUUUCGCAGCUCGUGUCGUGAGAUGUUGGUUAAGUCCCCAACGAGCCAACCCUUGUCUAUGUUGCAGCGGUAAUGCCGGGACUCGUAGAAAAUGCCGGGUCAACUCGGAGGAAGGGGGGAUGACGCCAAGCAUCAUGCCCCUUAUGUCCGGGGUUCCAACAUGCUACAAUGGCCGGUACAGAGGGUUGCAAACCCUAAGGGGGACGAAACCCUUAAAGCGGGCUCAGUUCGGAUGGGGGCUCCAACUCGCCCCCUAAAGCGGGGUCCCUUGAAAUCCAGAAAAACAAACCUCCGGGAAAAAAUUUCCCGGGCUUGGAAAACCCGCCGUCACGCUUAAAAAUGGGUAACCCCCGACCGG